rnacentral:misc_RNA from 1 species
AGCAGCCGCGGUAAUUCCAGCUCCAAUAGCGUAUAUUAAAGUUGUUGCAGUUAAAAGCUCGUAGUUGAAUUUCGGGAUCAGUUGGUCGGUCGUGCCUCGGUACGUACUGGUCAAAUUGAUUCCUACCUUCUGACGAACCACGAUGUCAUUAAUUUGGUGUCGUGGGGAAUCAGGACUGUUACUUUGAAAAAUUAGAGUGUUUAAAGCAGGCUCGCGCUUGAAUACAUUAGCAUGGAAUAAUGAAAUAGGACGUUUGAUUCUAUUUUGUUGGUUUCUAGGAUCGACGUAAUGAUUAAUAGGGAUAGUUGGGGGCAUUAGUAUUCAAUUGUCAGAGGUGAAAUUCUUGGAUUUAUUGAAGACUAACUACCGCGAAAGCAUUUGCCAAGGAUGUUUUCAUUAAUCAAGAACGAAAGUUAGGGAUCGAAGACGAUCAGAUACCGUCGUAGUCUUAACCAUAAACUAUGCCGACUAGGGAUCGGAUGAUGUUAAUUUUUAAUGUACUCAUUCGGCGCCUUACGGG